rnacentral:lncRNA from 1 species
ACAGAGAUACAGCCAGAGAGAGAGAGAACACAAGCAAGAGGAGUGGGAGAGGAAGAAGCAGGCUCCUAACGGAGGAGCCUGAUGUGGGGCUCGAUCCCAGAACACCAGGAUCACGCCCUGAGCAGAAGGCAGAUGCUUAAGGACUGCGCCAGCCAGGCACCCCUAUAGAUACUUUCUCAAUAGUCCUGCACUUUUCUUUUUCAGAUCUCCUACAUCUCUCAUUUUUUAUCAUUCCUAGUUAUUUCAUAUUCUUAGUUGCUAUUGUGAAUGGGAUCUAUUUUCCCAUUGCAUUUUAAUUGGUUAUUGUUCUCUUAUUUUGUAUGUGGCCAGUUGGUUACUUUUUAUUAUGUUAAAUAAUAAAUUUGAUAUGCUGGUUUUCAAAGAAGUAACUUAAAAUUUUGAGGCUGUUUACAUGUUAGUAUCGAUAUGAUAUUCUCAAUAUUCUGGGAUAUCUUCAGAUAUCAGAUGAGAUACAUGAUAUUCUGAGAAAAAUUCAUCGUUCGAUUUCUAGAUUUCAGAGAUCUUUUCCGAGGAAGGAUCUUGAAUAUGCUGAAUGCCUUUUUGUCAUCUAUUGAAAUGACCAUGUUUUUUCCUUAAGGCAAAUGCAUUGAUUAGGACUAGAUGACCUCUGUUCUAGAAUUCUUCUCAUUUAGAUAACAUCAUGAAUGUUAGGCCCAUUUAGAGUAUUAACAGAAUCAAAGGACAUUUUGACUGUGGUUCUCGCCUGUUGAGGUGGAAGGAAGGCUUAACUAGGCGCAAAAUGUCCCUUGAGGCUGUUCAGGGGAAUGUGGUCAGCAUGGACCCAUUCCGUGGGCUCAGAAGAGUCAGGACAGGGAGGACAGAACUGGCCCCCCACGGGACCAGCUAGAGGACUGGUAAUUCAUAGCAGUCUUCCUGAAGCUUCCAGUUUUCCAGGUUCCUUAAACCGCCAAAGUGAAUUGGUAUCCGGGGACGACUUCUUUAGUCACUUUCCUUCUGCAGGUCUAAAACCGAUGCUCAUUUUCAGCCCCAAGAGAGCCAGCCCCAAAGACUGGGACACUGGGCCUGUCCGGGCCGUUCCAGGGAUCCGGGACGCCCCAGGGUGGGCGCUGCACUCCCCUUCCCCCACGUCUGGUGCACCAGGCCAGGAAGGCGCAGGCC